rnacentral:misc_RNA from 1 species
UCUCCGUAGGUGAACCUGCGGAGGGAUCAUUACUGAGUGUAAAAACUCCAAACCCAUGUGAACUUACCACUUGUUGCCUCGGCGCAAGCGUUCUGCCUCCUCCUCGGAGGGGCGGGAACUGCGCCGGUGGACUACUAAACUCUUGUUAAUAUUGGCAUUCUGAAUAAAAAACUUAAUAAGUUAAAACUUUCAACAACGGAUCUCUUGGUUCUGGCAUCGAUGAAGAACGCAGC